rfam:Bacillus infantis NRRL B-14911, complete genome.
CGGUGAUGUCUCCUCGCCGUUAUCCAAGGGGGCACUCGGCCAUUCUGUGGGAUCAGGGAUCUUUUCCUUAGACGCUUGUCGUCAUUGGAGUGGUGUGAGGGCGGGUUGGAUGCCCU